GAUGAACGCUGGCGGCGUGCCUAAUACAUGCAAGUCGAGCGAACAGACGAGGAGCUUGCUCCUCUGACGUUAGCGGCGGACGGGUGAGUAACACGUGGAUAACCUACCUAUAAGACUGGGAUAACUUCGGGAAACCGGAGCUAAUACCGGAUAAUAUAUUGAACCGCAUGGUUCAAUAGUGAAAGACGGUUUUGCUGUCACUUAUAGAUGGAUCCGCGCCGCAUUAGCUAGUUGGUAAGGUAACGGCUUACCAAGGCAACGAUGCGUAGCCGACCUGAGAGGGUGAUCGGCCACACUGGAACUGAGACACGGUCCAGACUCCUACGGGGGGCAGCAGUAGGGAAUCUUCCGCAAUGGGCGAAAGCCUGACGGAGCAACGCCGCGUGAGUGAUGAAGGUCUUCGGAUCGUAAAACUCUGUUAUUAGGGAAGAACAAAUGUGUAAGUAACUAUGCACGUCCUGACGGUACCUAAUCAGAAAGCCACGGCUAACUACGUG
rnacentral:rRNA from 1 species